rnacentral:rRNA from 1 species
GCUAGUAAUCGCGGAUCAGAAUGCCGCGGUGAAUACGUUCCCGGGUCUUGUACACACCGCCCGUCACACCAUGGGAGUCGGAAAUGCCCGAAGCCGGUGACCCAACCCGAAAGGGAGGGAGCCGUCGAAGGCAGGUCGGAUGACUGGGGUGAAGUCGUAACAAGGUACC